AUUGAACGCUGGCGGCAGGCCUAACACAUGCAAGUCGAGCGGAUGAAGGGAGCUUGCUCCUGGAUUCAGCGGCGGACGGGUGGGUAAUGCCUAGGAAUCUGCCUGGUAGUGGGGGAUAACGUCCGGAAACGGGCGCUAAUACCGCAUACGUCCUGAGGGAGAAAGUGGGGGAUCUUCGGACCUCACGCUAUCAGAUGAGCCUAGGUCGGAUUAGCUAGUUGGUGGGGUAAGGGCCUACCAAGGCGACGAUCCGUAACUGGUCUGAGAGGAUGAUCAGUCACCCUGGAACUGGGACACGGUCCAGACUCCUACGGGAGGCAGCAGUGGGGAAUAUUGGACAAUGGGCGAAAGCCUGAUCCAGCCAUGCCGCGUGUGUGAAGAAGGUCUUCGGAUUGUAAAGCACUUUAAGUUGGGAGGAAGGGCAGUAAGUUAAUACCUUGCUGUUUUGACGUUACCAACAGAAUAAGCACCGGCUAACUUCGUG
rnacentral:rRNA from 1 species